UUAAAAAUAAGGUCUUCUAGAUGUUAAACUGAAUACAAGAAAAAUUCCUGAAACAGAGCUGAUGUCUGUUGCGUGGUAGCAUGGGACCACUUGGGAGCUGUUUCAAGAAGACUUUCCUAACUGGAGGGAAAGAAUGGAAGAACAUGGUUGAAUUAAGAAAAAGAAUAAGAAUCAUUGUGAGGCAACCCAGCGACCUGAACUUAUGUGGCUUUGAUUGGAGCCUGGUUUGAAAGAGGAUGACUAAGUACUACAGGAAAAUCAGAACAUCUCAGAAAACUUAUACUAUUUAUUAACUCAGUAAUUACAAGCUCUUAUUAACUACAGUGAGAAAUGGAAGUACAGACUGUGAAAGUGGAGCUGUGCCACUUAAAGUUCUCUUCCAGAAGGCAUUUGCUAUUCAGCUGCAAGGGGAGUGCAGUUAGACCAUUUCCUGCUGUUCCACCUUCAGGAUUCAGCUCUGCUGUCCAGUGUCUCUUACUUCUUUGCUAAUCUACAGCCUUCACGUUGGUCCCCCAAAGGCAGCCCUCAGCUUGCAUCUGGACUAAAGGAUUGACUGGAAAUCCAUGCUUUGACCAUAUGUCUUGGAGUCACCUUGGCAACAAUGUCUUAUCUCUUUUAAUCUUGUCACUCUCUGCAACCAGGCACUGGGGUGCUGAAACUUAUUCUCCUAAUCAUGUUGUUGCCAUUUGGAAAUGAGUGAGCUCUGAUUUUCUGUCUUUUUCAGCUGUUGCUAUUAAUUAUUCCAGACUUCUCUGAUCCUGGAAUCUGUGACUGGAAAAUGUAAAACUACAGGGAAUACAAGU